GAAGCUGACCAGACAGUCGCCGCUUCGUCGUCGUCCUCUUCGGGGGAGACGGGCGGAGGGGAGGAAAGUCCGGGCUCCAUAGGGCAGGGUGCCAGGUAACGCCUGGGGGGGAAACCCACGACCAGUGCAACAGAGAGCAAACCGCCGAUGGCCCGCGUAAGCGGGAUCAGGUAAGGGUGAAAGGGUGCGGUAAGAGCGCACCGCGCGGCUGGUAACAGUC
rnacentral:RNase_P_RNA from 1 species